AGAGCGAACGCUGGCGGCAUGCUUAACACAUGCAAGUCGCACGGGCAGCAAUGUCAGUGGCGGACGGGUGAGUAACGCGUAGGUAUCUAUCCUUGGGUGGGGGACAACGGCUGGAAACGGCUGCUAAUACCGCAUGAUAACUGAGGUUUAAAGGCGCAAGUCGCCUGGGGAGGAGCCUGCGUACGAUUAGCUAGUUGGUGGGGUAAAGGCCUACCAAGGCAACGAUCGUUAGCUGGUCUGAGAGGAUGAUCAGCCACAUUGGGACUGAGACACGGCCCAAACUCCUACGGGAGGCAGCAGUGGGGAAUAUUGGACAAUGGGCGAAAGCCUGAUCCAGCAAUGCCGCGUGUGUGAAGAAGGUCUUCGGAUUGUAAAGCACUUUCGACAGGGACGAUGAUGACGGUACCUGUAGAAGAAGCCCCGGCUAACUUCGUGCCAGCAGCCGC
rnacentral:rRNA from 1 species